UUGCGGUUUAAUCGGACUCAACGCCGGAAACUCACCAGAUAAGACAGCUGAAUGAUAGUCGGGCUGAAGACUCUACUUGACUAGCUGAGAGGAGGUGCAUGGCCGUCGUCAGUUCGUACUGUGAAGCAUCCUGUUAAGUCAGGCAACGAGCGAGACCCACGCCAACAGUUGCCAGCUCGUCCUCCGGGAUGGUGGGGGACACUGUUGGGACCGCCUCUGCUAAAGAGGAGGAAGGAAUGGGCAACGGUAGGUCAGCAUGCCCCGAAUUAUCUGGGCUACACGCGGGCUACAAUGGGUGGGACAAUGGGUAUCGACACCGAAAGGUGAAGGCAAUCUCCUAAACCCAUCCGUAGUUCGGAUUGUGGGCUGCAACUCGCCCACAUGAAGCUGGAAUCUGUAGUAAUCGUGUCUCAAAAUGGCACGGUGAAUAUGUCCCUGCUCCUU
rnacentral:rRNA from 1 species